UUUCGAGUCAUGACUGGAGCGAACCGGAGUGACAGGGAGCGGAGCUAGCGCACAGGACGCCCCGAGCCCGGGCGCUGCGUGUCAGCGGGCAGCGGUGUGAGGACGGAGAGCGGCGUGCGAGGGGGGCUGUCACAGAGGAGGCCGAGACUAUGACAACAGAAAAUUUAAAUGCAAUGACUGAAUUGGUAUGUGGAUGUCCUCCCAAAGCCAGCCUGGAGAAGUAUAAAAGAUUUGCAAUGCCAGAUUCCAGUAUAAAGUGACUGGUAUGAUCAUACCAGUUCCUACAAUGGGUUGGUGGUUUUCUGAUUCUGCUUUAUCUUAAGUGCCAAGCUGCUAAAAGGAUGUGUUUAGUAUCCUGGAUGUCGGGAUGCUGACGGUUAUGUGACCAAUGCCGGAAUCCCGACACGAACUCAGGAGGCAGACGCCGGAUAACAGACAGCAGACAUC